rnacentral:rRNA from 1 species
AUUGAACGCUGGCGGCAGGCUUAACACAUGCAAGUCGAGCGGGGGAGGUUGCUUCGGUAACUGACCUAGCGGCGGACGGGUGAGUAAUACUUAGGAAUCUGCCUAUUAAUGGGGGACAACAUCUCGAAAGGGAUGCUAAUACCGCAUACGCCCUACGGGGGAAAGCAGGGGAUCACUUGUGACCUUGCGUUAAUAGAUGAGCCUAAGUCGGAUUAGCUAGUUGGUGGGGUAAAGGCCUACCAAGGCGACGAUCUGUAGCGGGUCUGAGAGGAUGAUCCGCCACACUGGGACUGAGACACGGCCCAGACUCCUACGGGAGGCAGCAGUGGGGAAUAUUGGACAAUGGGGGGAACCCUGAUCCAGCCAUGCCGCGUGUGUGAAGAAGGCCUUAUGGUUGUAAAGCACUUUAAGCGAGGAGGAGGCUCUUUUGGUUAAUACCCAAGAUGAGUGGACGUUACUCGCAGAAUAAGCACCGGCUAACUCUGUGCCAGCCGCCGCCGUAAUAC